AAAAUAUGACAGAAAUUUCUGAGUGUUGCAAGUUGAGAGUGGUGAGAGAAAAAUUAACAUUUAUUAAUAAUCAACAGUUGAAGUGUACAUGGACAACAGUAAUUGGUAUUCCCUAAGGCCUCAGAAGAGCAAAGUAGACUGACUGACUGUCUUCUGAUCCGAAUUGAGAGACUCACUUAUCUUGAGUUUGGUUGACAUUCUACGCUCAAACGUGUAGAGCAUUUCUUGUUGAAUCCGAACACGACUGCAAUGUAAAGAAAUACAGAAUCCGGAACCCCAACAUGUAUGAGUCCUGAUGGAAGUGACGAUUACAAGUAGAUACUUGAUCCUGGUAUGGAAUAUUUGGGGCAUUUUGAAUAAUGGAACUAUCCUGGAAUUGCGAGUCAGGUGAUAUUUCCAGGAUAAGAUUCCAGAAGGACGUGGAGUGUGAAGAAGAGACCAAAAUGUACCAUAUUUUGAGAACUACUGGGUCACUUGUUGGUUUACUGAAUCCGCUCCUAAAAGCUCCGAAUCAACUCUAAUUGGAUCAGCAAAUGUAUGCUUUUUAAAUAAAUCCUAAGCAGUUUAUUCAAAUCCCCUGAAGCGUUUAACUACUAAAAAAUAUUUUCCCUAAAAAAAAUAAGCACUUGGAUACUCGUGUAAAUUCAAAUAUCAAACACCUGGCCUUUAUGGAAAUUUGUGCCUCCAUCCCUCCAUAUGUAAAGCCCAAAUUCGAGAUUUGGUGUAUUUUUUUAACGAUCCAUUUAAAAUGUGUUUUCUAAGGUAUGCAGACCACUCAUACUCCGGAAACUGGAUAAGUAAUGCAAUAUAAUCCUCUCUCAAAAUACCAAGAAAAUUUAAAAGC